AGCGAACGCUGGCGGCAGGCUUAACACAUGCAAGUCGAACGGGCACUUCGGUGCUGGUGGCAGACGGGUGAGUAACGCGUGGGAACGUACCUUUCGGUUCGGAAUAAUUCAGGGAAACUUGGACUAAUACCGGAUACGCCCUUCGGGGGAAAGAUUUAUCGCCGAUAGAUCGGCCCGCGUCUGAUUAGCUAGUUGGUGAGGUAAUGGCUCACCAAGGCGACGAUCAGUAGCUGGUCUGAGAGGAUGAUCAGCCACAUUGGGACUGAGACACGGCCCAAACUCCUACGGGAGGCAGCAGUGGGGAAUAUUGGACAAUGGGCGCAAGCCUGAUCCAGCCAUGCCGCGUGAGUGAUGAAGGCCUUAGGGUUGUAAAGCUCUUUUGUCCGGGAAGAUAAUGACUGUACCGGAAGAAUAAGCCCCGGUUAACUUCGUGCCAGCCGCCGCGGUAAGAC
rnacentral:rRNA from 1 species